rnacentral:rRNA from 1 species
UUCUAUAGCAUUUCAACUUGCAGCCCAAGAGUGGUUACUCACUGAAGCUAAGCAGGGCUGCACCCGGUCAGUAGCUGGAUGGGAGGCCACAUGGGAAAACUAGUUUGCUGUUGGAC